CUGCAACCUCGUUCAAGUAAUCCAGGAUAGGCUUUGUGGAUCUACUUCAGCCUAUCCUUGAUUACUUGCACUUGGCAGCAG
rfam:Poecilia formosa, whole genome shotgun sequence.